GCAGCCAGGACGGCAGGCCAAGUCGGCGUGAACGAGUCAAGGCGCGCCAAGGGCUGCCCAGCCCCUGCCAAACAGUAGACCUUGGGUGUGGGACGCCGCCACAAGGCGGAAGCGAAAAUGAAAGGCAUUCAGUCGCGUCUCUUUGCGACCCCAACGACUGUAGCCCCACCAGGCUCCUCUGUCCAUGGGGAUUCUCUAGACAAGAAUACCGGAGUGGGUUACCAUGCCCUCCUCCAGGGCAAUCUUCCUAACCCAGGGAUCGAACCCAGAUCUCCCGCAGCGCGGGCGGAGUCUUCACCUUCUGAGCCACCGCUGAAGCCAAGCGGAAGGCGAAGAGGAAGUCCGCCGGAAGCCCCGCCCCCGCCGCGCAGGCGCCCAGGGCAGACAGUGCGGGCGGGGCCGCGCACUCGCCCAGGGCUGCGCCUCGCCGCCGCGGAGGCAGCGGAGAUGGCGUGUGAGACAGAGCGAACCCCCCUGGGUGUGUUCAAGUGCCAGCUCUGUGCCUUAACAGCUCCAUACAGCUACCAGGGGCGGCAGCCCCCUGACAGCCAGUCUGUCGUCCUCCUGGAGGAGAGCUACGUGAUGAGGGACCCCUUCACCCCCGACAAGGGCAGAUUCCUGGUCGUCGGCUCGAGAUGCAGCAUUUGCGGCAGGCUGGUGUGUGUGGGCCCGGUGAGGAGACUGAGAUUUGGAGAGGUGGAGUUGGCCCAGUUCACUGGGCUAGCUGAGCCUGUCGUGUGAAAGCCCGAGGACGGAUGGAAGUGCAGCUGUGUGGACCCUUACCCCGAGUGACUCUGCAGCCCAAGCAUCCCUGAGUAUUCUGGCUGGGGGCCGAGGGCCAGCAGUGGAGGGGCAGGGGGGCUGUGUCACAGAGCAGAUUGGGACAGCCAGUCUCCAUCCAUCAGAAGUCAAGGUGAUGAGACUGGCAGGUGGGAGGGAGCCUCAGCUCAGGCAAAGGCCCAGAGGGAGCCACACUACUGUGGGGCCGUGUGAGGAGACGGGCAGCUGGCACUGUUGAGGCCCUGUGUGGACCGGAAGCAGCUGGAGUCAGGGGAGUGGGGCCAGGCGGGGGAAAGCCAGGACUGCCGCCCUGGGAGUUCGGGCCGCACUUGGUGCCAGGGGGGACGGGGCCCCAUGUGGCGUCAGAUCUCCACGGUUGUCUUGGUUGAGGCACAGCCUAAGCUCCUGGAAGGAAGGGACCCCGAUACAGGGGACAGAUGAGACAAACAGAGCCUGGCCCAGGUGGUGCUGGCUGGCGGGGCACAGCUGUGGUCCUCAGCACAGGACCCGUCGGGUCCCCUGUGGAAGUCGCAGCUCCCAACAUCACAUCUACAUCCCCGCUGGUGGGAAGGGACAGGAGCGCACAUGCGUGUUCCUUCAGAGAGCACGACCAGGAGGUGGCACGCGGCUGUGGUGACGCCGCUGAGCAGACUCAGCCGCGUGGCCACCCUGGCUGCAGGGGGCUGGGAGGCAGUCCGGGCCCUGCGCUGGAUGGGCACCGGCGCAGUGUUAGUGGAUGCCACGGUCGCCACGGUGCGUGGAGGAGCAGUCCUGGCCUGCCCAGACCAGCCACUCGGCUGUGGCCUCCGGCUCUGUGGGCUGUCCCUCCCGUCCCUGGCUGCUCCCUGCACCGGUGUCACCAAACCCCUGUCCCACCGCCGUGAUAGCCGGGAGCGGGAGGGACCUCGGGUUUCCAGCCCGUUGGGCCUGGCUUGUGCUCAUCCUCUGCCCACGGUGGAGCCCCGCCCUGCAGAAGCCAGGCUGCGCCAUCUCUCCUGGCUGCCUUCGCGGGUCUCACCCAACCAGGCCCACGGCCUGCGGGCUCCAGCCCUGGCUCUUUUGCCCCCAUUGCCCUCCUGGAGGCCCACUGGCGCUUCUCUUAGAUGAGGACCACCCUCCUGGAGGAAUGCAGUUUAUUCUACUCCAAGAGAUUUUGCCUCCCCUGUGUCCAGGACAACGUGGAUGCUUUCCCUCAGGAAAUUCAGCAAGACUUGGAGAAAAGGAAAGUCCCCUCCACGAGGCCUGCCAGCCAGCGCAGUUCUCA